AGUGAACGCUGGCGGUAGGCCUAACACAUGCCAGUCGAACGGCAGCACAGUAAGAGCUUGCUCUUACGGGUGGCGAGUGGCGGACGGGUGAGGAAUACAUCGGAAUCUACUUUUUCGUGGGGGAUAACGUAGGGAAACUUGCGCUAAUACCGCAUACGACCUACGGGUGAAAGCAGGGGAUCUUCGGACCUUGCGCGAUUGAAUGAGCCGAUGUCGGAUUAGCUAGUUGGCGGGGUAAAGGCCCACCAAGGCGACGAUCCGUAGCUGGUCUGAGAGGAUGAUCAGCCACACUGGAACUGAGACACGGUUCAGACUCCUACGGGAGGCAGCAGUGGGGAAUAUUGGACAAUGGGCGCAAGCCUGAUCCAGCCAUACCGCGUGGGUGAAGAAGGCCUUCGGGUUGUAAAGCCCUUUUGUUGGGAAAGAAAAGCAGCAGGUUAAUACCCCGCUGUUCUGACGGUACCCAAAGAAUAAGCACCGGCUAACUUCGUG
rnacentral:rRNA from 1 species